rnacentral:tRNA from 1 species
CAAGGUAGUAGUUUAAUAAAAUACUGGCAUUGGAAGCCAGAGAUUAGGUAGAUUACUCCUACUCCUUGA